GACGAACGCUGGCGGCGUGCUUAACACAUGCAAGUCGAACGGAAAGGCCCUGCUUUUGUGGGGUGCUCGAGUGGCGAACGGGUGAGUAACACGUGAGUAACCUGCCCUUGACUUUGGGAUAACUUCAGGAAACUGGGGCUAAUACCGGAUAGGAGCUCCUGCUGCAUGGUGGGGGUUGGAAAGUUUCGGCGGUUGGGGAUGGACUCGCGGCUUAUCAGCUUGUUGGUGGGGUAGUGGCUUACCAAGGCUUCGACGGGUAGCCGGCCUGAGAGGGUGACCGGCCACAUGGGGACUGAGAUACGGCCCAGACUCCUACGGGAGGCAGCAGUGGGGAAUAUUGCACAAUGGGCGGAAGCCUGAUGCGGCAACGCCGCGUGCGGGAUGACGGCCUUCGGGUUGUAAACCGCUUUCGCCUGUGACGAAGCGUGAGUGACGGUAAUGGGUAAAGAAGCACCGGCUAACUACGUG
rnacentral:rRNA from 1 species